GCGCGGGUGGCGAAACCGGUACACGCGCCAUUUUGAGGUGAUGGUGGGAGUAAUCCCUUGGAGGUUCGAGUCCUCUCCCGCGCA
rnacentral:tRNA from 1 species